GGAAAGCGGCGGACGGGUGAGUAACGCGUAGGCAACCUGCCCUUUGCAGAGGGAUAGCCUCGGGAAACCGGGAUUAAAACCUCAUAAUACCGUAGUGAGACAUCUCACGGCGGUCAAAGAUUUAUCGGCAAAGGAUGGGCCUGCGUCUGAUUAGUUAGUUGGUGGGGUAACGGCCUACCAAGGCGACGAUCAGUAGCCGACCUGAGAGGGUGAUCGGCCACAUUGGAACUGAGACACGGUCCAA
rnacentral:rRNA from 1 species